rnacentral:rRNA from 1 species
GACGAACGCUGGCGGCGUGCUUAACACAUGCAAGUCGAACGGUGAAGCGCCUUCCUUUUUGGUGGGUGGGGAUGAGUGGCGAACGGGUGAGUAACACGUGAGUAACCUGCCCCCUUCUUCUGGAUAACCGCAUGAAAGUGUGGCUAAUACGGGAUAUUCUGGGUCUGUCGCAUGAUGGGUCUGGGAAAGAUAUUGUUUCGGUGGGGGAUGGGCUCGCGGCCUAUCAGCUUGUUGGUGGGGUGAUGGCCUACCAAGGCGGUGACGGGUAGCCGGCCUGAGAGGGUGGACGGUCACACUGGGACUGAGGCCCGGCCCGGACUCCUACGGGAGGCAGCAGUGGGGAAUAUUGCACAAUGGGCGCAAGCCUGAUGCAGCGACGCCGCGUGAGGGAUGGAGGCCUUCGGGUUGUGAACCUCUUUCGCCAGUGAAGCAGGCCUGCCUCGUUUGUGGGUGGGUUGACGGUAGCUGGAUAAGAAGCGCCGGCUAACUACGUG